UACGUAGGGAGCAAGCGUUGUCCGGAAUCAUUGGGCGUAAAGCGCGCGUAGGUGGCCUCAUAAGUCCGCUGUGAAAGUCAAAGGCUCAACCUUUGAAAGCCGGUGGGUACUGUGAGGCUAGAGUACGGAAGAGGCGAGUGGAAUUCCUGGUGUAGCGGUGGAAUGCGCAGAUAUCAGGAGGAACACCAAUAGCGAAGGCAGCUCGCUGGGACGUUACUGACACUGAGGCGCGAAAGCGUGGGGAGCGAACAGG
rnacentral:rRNA from 1 species